GUCUACGCUGUCAAAGAUGAAUACUAACAUUAGGAAUUUCUUGGUGUACAGCUAACGCGUUAAGUAUUCCGCCUGGGAAGUACGAUCGCAAGAUUGGAACUCAAAGGAAUUGACGGGGAUUUACACAAGUGGUGGAGUAUGCGGUUUAAUGCGAUAAUACGCGCAAAACCUUACCAGUUCUUGACAUAGAAUUAGACCUAAUAACGAAGGUUAUUUUAAGGAUUAUACGAGUAUUCUCGUAUAUCUAAUUUUACAGGUGUUGCAUGGUUGUCGU
rnacentral:rRNA from 1 species